rnacentral:misc_RNA from 1 species
UCCGGUUUGUCACCGGCAGUCUCGCUAGAGUCCUCGGCAUUACCCGUUAGCAACUAGCGACAGGGGUUGCGCUCGUUAAUGGACUUAACCAAACACUUCACAGCACGAGCUGACGACAGCCAUGCAGCACCUGUGCACGUUGUACCCUUGCGGGCCUUACUCCUGUUUCCAGGAGCUAAUCCGUGCAUGUCAAACCCAGGUAAGGUUCUUCGCGUUGCUUCGAAUUAAGCAACAUGCUCCACCGCUUGUGCGGGCCCCCGUCAAUUCCUUUGAGUUUUAAUCUUGCGACCGUAAUCCC